rnacentral:rRNA from 1 species
UACAGAGGUCUCAAGCGUUGUUCGGAAUCAUUGGGCGUAAAGCGCACGUAGGCGGCUCGUUAAGUCGGAUGUGAAAGCCCUCGGCUCAACCGAGGAAGUGCAUACGAAACUGGCGAGCUUGAAUAUGGAAGAGGGUCGCGGAAUUCCCGGUGUAGAGGUGAAAUUCGUAGAUAUCGGGAGGAACACCAGUGGCGAAGGCGGCGACCUGGGC